CAAAAUAGGAAUCCAGUUAUUACAAAAUUGUAAAGAGUGUAGAAAAGGUACGAAAGCUAGAAAAUUCUAACUAUUACAAAUGCGAAAUACUGGACAUAUUUCAGAUUUAGGUGAUUUUUGUCUCCUCUAUUCAAUUGCAUAACCUCCACGUAGCACCUCCCGAGCUCUCACCUGGCGCCAUGUUUUGUGAUUGAACUGUGAGUGUCCAAGUAUCACCAAUUAGAUCCUGGUCUGUCAAAAUACACAAUGUUGAUUGCAUUUAUCUCGAGGAUUGUAGUCCCGACUGUCUGUAUGUGGAGUAUGCAUAGGUGUUCUUCUCCUUUCACCAUAAGAUCACCCCCAGAUUGAGCAUGAGAGCAUGCUAAUACCACUGGGAGGCACUCUAACAGUGUUUAGAUAAUCUGCCUUAGACAUGCAUCAGAAUUUCAUUUCGAAGCCCUCUGAAAAUCAGUAACGUACUUGGGACAUUUGCAUUUCUGCACUCAUUGUUUGGUUGUAUGUGAACUAUUCCAACUCUUGCUACUAUAUGAUUCUCCUUAUACCAUAAGACCACCCCCAGAUUAAGCAUGAUAUCAUGCUAAUACCACUGGGAAGCAGCCUAUAAGUUUUCAGAAAAUCAACCACAGUAGCCUAACACUCUCUAUAGUCAGUGACAUUUAGCUUUUUUCUGUUACGUUUGCUAACAGUGAUGUAUAAGCUCCAGUUAUUGACUGCUCCAGCAUGAAUAGAGAUACCAAUAGCUGGCCAAAUCAAUGGCAUUAAUGUAGGUUUUUUUCCUUUGUAUCGACUGGCAGUACCAUUACUACAGCUGCGAGAUUACUGUACAGUAAUUCCAUGUUUGCGAUAGCAUUGAAACAUUUGUAAUUGUCUAAAUCAAGUACCUGCAAAAUUUAAUAAACAGAUUAGUGGUAAAAGAGUUCUGGAUUCAGUGGUGUCAUGUGUGGCCUGAUUCCGAUUCUGUUAUGGCUUUUAGGGUAGUCUAUUUCCAGUUUCAUGUUUGCACUAUGACAUAAUACCCGGAUGGAUUGAAUUACAGAAACCCAUUUGAAGCUACCUCGGCCAUGACUUUGUGAUAUCUUCUUGGAACCGAUUGUUGUUUGCAUAACUCGAUACAGACGAGUAUCUUUUAGAACUUAUGCAGGCCUUUGUUGCGUUAGCUGUGGUCUUCUCCAGUCAGUACAACACCCUUGUAACCAAGAUGGAAGAAUGUGCAUUGUUUCCUCUGUUUACAAUAGCAUUGAACUCGUGUUUGGUUAUCUAUUGAUCAUCAGAAAAUUUCCAUUUUGUGCACUGGUAUGUAUUCUUCCAUCUGAUAAAAUCAGUGUCACCAGAAGCCUCCCAGUGUUGUAACAGCAAUAUUUGCACGUCAAUAUGGGAAGUUUCCUUUCGCAAUUUUAACCCUUAGAUUUGGUAUUUGUGACUUGUCCAUGUUUAUUAAUCUCCUCCCUGCUGUGGCAAGUUCUGUGAAAGAGUGAAAAUGAGUUGUUCCUGCAAAUGAAAAGGCAAUGUUAGCUAUAUAAUCUGCUAAAGUGUUUCCUUCUCUGUAAACAUGUUGAAAGAUCACAUUGAAAUGAUCCCUCAACGCCUGAAUCUUCUGCACUUCUGCCCUUAUACACCAAGAUGAGACAAUUCUUGCGCAAAUAUGAUCCUAAUGUAUCUAUGACUCAAAGUAACAAUGGAACCUCAUGUGAACAGAUCUCUGACGCCAACAGUGGACAUGAACGAGUACCACAAACAUCAAGGAUGCCUAGUGUUGCUGAAAAUGCUCAACUUUCUCACGGUACUACUCAUCUUUGAGUUUUCCUCCUUCGAUUUUUAUUAAUUUGUUGUUGUAUUUGGGCUUACUUGAAUGCUUCUUGCUUUCAUAUAUUUUCUUUUCUCACUGUUGGUUUCCGUCUCAACAAUGUAUAUCUUUUACAAUUAGAAAUAGUCUUCUAUGUCUUCUUUAGACUAUUACAAUUACAAAUAGUCUUCUAUGGCUUCUCAACAAUAUUUCUAUUAAUUUCGUA